GUAAGGAAUAUUGGACUAUGGACGCAAGUCUGAUCCAGCCAUGCCGCGUGAAGGAUUAAGGUCCUCUGGAUUGUAAACUUCUUUUAUAAGGGACGAAAAAAGGCUUUUCUAAGUCGUCUGACGGUACCUUAUGAAUAAGCACCGGCUAACUCCGUGCCAGCAGCCGCGGUAAUACGGAGGGUGCAAGCGUUAUCCGGAUUCACUGGGUUUAAAGGGUGCGUAGGCGGGCAGGUAAGUCAGUGGUGAAAUCCUAGAGCUUAACUCUAGAACUGCCAUUGAUACUAUCUGUCUUGAAUAUUGUGGAGGUAAGCGGAAUAUGUCAUGUAGCGGUGAAAUGCUUAGAUAUGACAUAGAACACCUAUUGCGAAGGCAGCUUACUACGCAUAUAUUGACGCUGAGGCACGAAAGCGUGGGGAUCAAACAGGAUUAGAAACCCUGGUAGUCC
rnacentral:rRNA from 1 species